rnacentral:rRNA from 1 species
AACGUAGGACGCAAGCGUUGUCCGGAGUUACUGGGCGUAAAGCGUGCGCAGGCGGUUCGUUGUGUCUGAUGUGAAAGCCCCGGGCUUAACCUGGGAAUGGCAUUGGAAACUGGCGAGCUGGAGUGUGGCAGAGGGGGGUGGAAUUCCGCGUGUAGCAGUGAAAUGCGUAGAGAUGCGGAGGAACACCGAUGGCGAAGGCAGCCCCGUGGGCCAACACUGACGCUCAGGCACGAAAGCGUGGGGAGCAAACAGC